rnacentral:rRNA from 1 species
AUUGAACGCUGGCGGCAGGCCUAACACAUGCAAGUCGAGCGGAUGAAGAGAGCUUGCUCUCUGAUUCAGCGGCGGACGGGUGAGUAAUGCCUAGGAAUCUGCCUGGUAGUGGGGGACAACGUUUCGAAAGGAACGCUAAUACCGCAUACGUCCUACGGGAGAAAGCAGGGGGACCUUCGGGCCUUGCGCUAUCAGAUGAGCCUAGGUCGGAUUAGCUAGUUGGUGAGGUAAUGGCUCACCAAGGCGACGAUCCGUAACUGGUCUGAGAGGAUGAUCAGUCACACUGGAACUGAGACACGGUCCAGACUCCUACGGGAGGCAGCAGUGGGGAAUAUUGGACAAUGGGCGAAAGCCUGAUCCAGCCAUGCCGCGUGUGUGAAGAAGGUCUUCGGAUUGUAAAGCACUUUAAGUUGGGAGGAAGGGUUGUAGAGUUAAUACUCUGCAAUUUUGACGUUACCGACAGAAUAAGCACCGGCUAACUCUGU